UUCAUUGCUACCCCUGACAAGCACACAGAGAUGCCUCCUGCAGACUGCUUCCAAAGCUAUCCGUUCCUAAUACUACUUGCAACAGCACUUGACGUAUGGGUGGACCUUUUGGCACCUUCCCACUGCUUCGAUGAUGGCGUCACCCUGGCAACCGACACAUCGCAGCUACCCUUGAAAUUGUGUUGCUUCCUCGUGGUGGUAUUUCAUUGCAACACCUGACAAGUACAUGGAGACGACUCCUGCAGACUGCUUCCAAGGCUCUCCGUUCCUGAGAUUACCUGGCGCAUCAGUCGUCGUAUGGCCGAACCUUUUGGCAUCUUCGCCCUCCUUCGCUGAUGAUGUCAUCCACACUUCAGCUACCUUUGCGAAAGGAUCUCCACCUGUGUUCUCGCUUGUGAGGCGCCGCAGAAGAUUGGUCCAGCCCACUCUUGACAUCGGUAACGUCCAUGACAUUGCCCCAAAAGCGACGACUGCUCGUUCUACCGUACACUCCCGGCCGGUCAAUUCUUCGUACGCUUCCAAGCCUUUGUUGGAGGUUCCUGCACUGUCUUCGCAGCGUGUGGGUGUUCUCCGGAAAGACUGCAGUCGCGUUCGCUAAAGGCUUUACCGAAUCUUGUGUGGUAUUUUUUGUAGCAUGAGUAGGAAAUGAUGUAGAUAAUCUAGAGGAGCAAGUCGCCCUAUAUUCUCCCAGCCAAAGUAUGGUACAUCUAGCCGUUGCAAGGGAGCCCAAGAGUAAACAUUAAAAAACUGUCACGUCAUUUGUAAAUGUUUGGUGGGUAGGAUAAGCAUAUUUAUUUACAUUUUGUGCUUUCGUAGAGUUAGGAGGUGGGACUACGUGCACGCAUGUUCGCGCAAGCUUUCGUUUGCUCACAAUUAACAUUCCAUUUGGAAGGUUAACUUUAUUUCUGGUCUUGUUGCGUUCUGAAUGGAUUGGACUCGCUCUUUACUACAGUUUGUUCCACGAUGUUGUUUUCUUACGUGUGGUGUACCUGAUGACGGCCACAACCCAUUGUCGACUCAGUGGUAAAUCGAAAAAUUGUUUUGAAAAAUUAGUUUUUUAGGUCUUGUUCGGCGUUUACGCUGACCAGCCAAACACUUUGGUCUUGGCAAAGGCAUCUUUUGAUGACAUUCACAAUAAAGCUGCUUUGUGAUGCAAGACACCACGCUAGUGAA